rnacentral:rRNA from 1 species
GGGUUGUGAGGUUAAGCGACUAAGCGUACACGGUGGAUGCCCUGGCAGUCAGAGGCGAUGAAGGGCGUGCUAAUCUGCGAUAAGCGCCGGUAAGGUGAUAUGAACCGUUAUAACCGGCGAUACCCGAAUGGGGAAACCCAGUGUGACUCGUCACACUAUCAUUAACUGAAUCCAUAGGUUAAUGAGGCGAACCGGGGGAACUGAAACAUCUAAGUACCCCGAGGAAAAGAAAUCAACCGAGAUUCCCCCAGUAGCGGCGAGCGAACGGGGAGGAGCCCAGAGCCUGAAUCAGCAUGUGUGUUAGUGGAAGCGUCUGGAAAGGCGCGCGAUACAGGGUGACAGCCCCGUACACAAAAGCGCAUGUGCUGUGAGCUCGAUGAGUAGGGCGGGACACGUGGUAUCCUGUCUGAAUAUGGGGGGACCAUCCUCCAAGGCUAAAUACUCCUGACUGACCGAUAGUGAACCAGUACCGUGAGGGAAAGGCGAAAAGAACCCCGGCGAGGGGAGUGAAAAAGAACCUGAAACCGUGUACGUACAAGCAGUGGGAGCACCCUUUGGGUGUGACUGCGUACCUUUUGUAUAAUGGGUCAGCGACUUAUAUUCUGUAGCAAGGUUAACCGAAUAGGGGAGCCGGAGGGAAACCGAGUCUUAAUUGGGCGUUAAGUUGCAGGGUAUAGACCCGAAACCCGGUGAUCUAGCCAUGGGCAGGUUGAAGGUUGGGUAACACUAACUGGAGGACCGAACCGACUAAUGUUGAAAAAUUAGCGGAUGACCUGUGGCUGGGGGUGAAAGGCCAAUCAAACCGGGAGAUAGCUGGUUCUCCCCGAAAGCUAUUUAGGUAGCGCCUCGUGAAUUCAUCUCCGGGGGUAGAGCACUGUUUCGGCUAGGGGGCCAUCCCGGCUUACCAACCCGAUGCAAACUGCGAAUACCGGAGAAUGUUAUCACGGGAGACACACGGCGGGUGCUAACGUCCGUCGUGAAGAGGGAAACAACCCAGACCGCCAGCUAAGGUCCCAAAGUCAUGGUUAAGUGGGAAACGAUGUGGGAAGGCCCAGACAGCCAGGAUGUUGGCUUAGAAGCAGCCAUCAUUUAAAGAAAGCGUAAUAGCUCACUGGUCGAGUCGGCCUGCGCGGAAGAUGUAACGGGGCUAAACCAUGCACCGAAGCUGCGGCAGCGAC